CCGCGCAGAUGCCAGGGGCGGAACCUCCUCUCCAGCCUGGGUCCCUGCUGUCCUCAGCUUGAGAAGAGAAGGGUAUGGUGCCUUCAAGGAACUGGAAGAAAACCAUUAUUGCUGGUGGAUUGUAUUGCUGCUUUUAAUGGAGCGAAUCCCCCCUCCCCACCAGAAACAGCAAAGAAACAGCAACUGGAAGAUAACAGAAUCAUGAAAGCAUGAUUGAAGAACAAAAAAAUGGGACAGCUGACACUUCCACUUCUGUUAAGAGUUC
rnacentral:lncRNA from 10 species